GAUGAAGAACGUAGCGAAAUGCGAUAAGUAAUGUGAAUUGCAGAAUUCAGUGAAUCAUCGAAUCUUUGAACGCACAUUGCGCCCUCUGGUAUUCCGGGGGGCAUGCCUGUUCGAGCGUCAUUAUAACCACUCAAGCUCUCGCUUGGUAUUGGGGUUCGCGGUUUCGCGGCCCCUAAAAUCAGUGGCGGUGCCUGUCGGCUCUACGCGUAGUAAUACUUCUCGCGAUUGAGUUCGAUAGGUCUACUUGCCAGUAACCCCCAAUUUUUACAGGUUGACCUCGGAUCAGGUAGGGAUACCCGCUGAACUUAAGCAUAUCAAUGAGCGGAGGA
rnacentral:misc_RNA from 1 species